rnacentral:rRNA from 1 species
GAGACGACGCUGGCGGCGUGCUUAAUACAUGCAAGUCGAGCGAGGGCCUUGGAAUUGGAGUCCUUCGGGAUGAAGAGUCCUUGGCCUAGCGGCGGACGGGUGAGUAACGCGUGGGCAACCUACCCCAAAGUCCGGGAUAACAGUGGGAAACCGCUGCUAAUACCGGAUGGCUUUACCUGAGGGCAUCCUUGGGUAAAGAAAGGUUACGCUUUGGGAUGGGCCCGCGUCCCAUUAGCUAGUUGGUGAGGUAACGGCUCACCAAGGCGACGAUGGGUAGCCGGCCUGAGAGGGUGAACGGCCACACUGGGACUGAGACACGGCCCAGACUCCUACGGGAGGCAGCAGUAGGGAAUAUUGCGCAAUGGGCGGAAGCCUGACGCAGCGACGCCGCGUGAGCGAAGAAGGCCUUCGGGUCGUAAAGCUCUGUCCUUGGGGAAGAAGGCGAAAGCUUGACGGUACCCAAGAAGAAAGCCCCGGCUAACUACGUG